ACGUUAGCGGCGGACGGGUGAGUAACACGUGGGUAACCUACCUAUAAGACUGGGAUAACUUCGGGAAACCGGAGCUAAUACCGGAUAAUAUUUCAACCGCAUGGUUCGAUAGUGAAAGAUGGUUUUGCUAUCACUUAUAGAUGGACCUGCGCCGUAUUAGCUAGUUGGUAAGGUAACGGCUUACCAAGGCGACGAUACGUAGCCGACCUGAGAGGGUGAUCGGCCACACUGGAACUGAGACACGGUCCAGACUCCUACGGGAGGCAGCAGGU
rnacentral:rRNA from 1 species